rnacentral:lncRNA from 1 species
UUAAGCUGCGAUUGAACCUAAGUCUUUCCAAAAAGGGUCAAUUGAGAAGUUCCCAUAAAAUUCCUUUCUCAUCGAGAAUUUACAACAACUGAAACUACAACAAACAAGUCAGCCCGUCGAUCUUAACCCUCGUAAGAUUUUUGUAAAUCCACCUUGAUAGCACACCUGGGCUGCCCCCCAUCUCUAUGAUACCCUCUAACUCUUGCAAGAUUAUCAAUUAUCAGCAAUGCAUCUAGCCUUCACAAAGGCUGAUUACCUCUUGCUAAUUAGUAGACUAGGCAGUAAAGGCUUCAAUCUAUCCACUAGAACCUUGGAAAAGCAUUUGUAGAGGUCUUUUUCCUGAAGUCCUUCAUAGAAUUAGGGACUGGAACUUUAGGAAUCAAUGUCAAUGCAGUGCUAUUCAAACGCCUAAUAGAGCAUUCACCUCUGAACACCCACGGUCAAGAUAGCAUCUACCACUUCCUUUCCAACUAGAUCCCAAUUCUUCUGAGAAAAGAAGGCUCCAUCAGGUCUUGGGGCUUUUUGGGGGUAAAUAGAAAACAUGGCAUU